rnacentral:rRNA from 1 species
CCCUUAGAUGUUCUGGGCUGCACGCGCGCUACACUGAAGCGUUCAACGAGUAUUCACCUUGCCCGGGAGGGUUGGGUAAUCUUUUGAAAACGCUUCGUGAUGGGGAUAGAUUAUUGCAAUUAUUAAUCUUCAACGAGGAAUUCCUAGUAAGCGCGAGUCAUCAGACUGCAUCGAUUACGUCCCUGCCCUUUGUACACACCGCCCGUCGCUCCUACCGAUUGGAUGAUCCGGUGAGCUAUUCGGACCUGUGCAUUUUCCAUUGGAACUUGCGUGGGAAAGUCUCGCGAACCUUAUCAUCUAGAGGAAGGAGAAGUCGUAACA